UUGAUCCAGGAUUUCUAGGAGGAUUCUAGGUGACAGAAAAAGGGGUACCACGUCAUCUCAGUUUGCUAUUUGCUAUAUUGACCUCCUAAUUUCUUUUUUUAAAUUUAUCAAAAUAGAUAAAUUGUGGUAUAUUCACACAUUUAAAUAUUAUACAAAAAUGCAAAUAAGCAAAUUACAAAAGGGUCUGAUAUCGUAGAACCUUGGAGAGACUUGGCCUCAAAGACGCCAUGUGUAAGGGAAAGUGGAAGUGGCACAUGGGGCUUAAAACAAGGGGGUUGACUGAAGGCUGGUGGAUAAUGCUAUCUACUCCUAGACCUCCUAACCCUACUCCUACACACAGAACACCCAGAACUCUAGUGUCUAGCCACAAGGCAAGAGGUCAGAGGGUUCCUCAUUGGAGAAAGCCCCAGCAAAAAAGACUACCUCAUUCUAGCCCUACCUCAUUUGGGGUCUUUGGCUCAACUACUCAUGUAUGCAAGGCUCCCAGUCAGCUUUUCAUUGCCUGCCUCUUAAAUAUAAACAGAUAACCAAGAUAAAAUAGAGAAAUCAAGUGUAUAAACAGAAAACGUGAACCCAGAGGAAAUCAAGAUAACAUGCAAAGUAGAAGAGUAUUUCAAAAGAAUCAAAUUAGUGUGCUCAGAAAAAGAUGAAAAACUUGUAACUAGACGGUACUAUACUGUCUAUGAGAAAGGAACUAUCAAUAAGAAAGGACUCUGAGAAAUUAAAAAUUGAAAUGCUGAAGUGAACAAUUCAAUAGAAUUAAAAGAUAAAUUUAAGGGAUUUUCCCAGGAGGUAAGAUAAAGAUAAAGGAGGCAGAAAACACAAGAAGAAAAUAAGAAACAAAAUAUUUAUUUAAGGGUUUCAAUAGUUGACUAAUGGUAGAUCCAGAAAAAUUAAUUUUAAAAGGGGGCGUGGAGGAAGAAUUAACAAAGAUAUAAUACAAGAAAUUUUCUCACAGCUGAAGAAUACAAGUCUACAGAAUAGACAGAACCACUGAAUGCUCAACAAAGAUAAAUGCAAAGUAAUCAACAUAUAGAUACACUGCCAUGAAAUGUCAGAACACUAAAAAUAGGCAAUAUAAAAAGCUUCAAGAAAGAAAAAUAUGUCAUACAUAAAGGAUUAAGUACCAAAAUGCCAUCACAUUUUUCAAUAGUAGCAUUGGAUGCAAUAUUUUCAAUAUCAUCAAAAUUCUGAGAGAAAUCAUUUUCAACUGAAUUUAUAUGCCCAGCCAAACUGUUGAUCAAUGUGAGAUUAAAAGAAAUAGUCUCACAAAGUUUACCUCCAGUGCACUCUUUUUAAAGGAAAUUAUUUGAGAAUGUGCUCCAGCAAAAUGAGGGAGUAAACCAAGGAAAAGGAUACAUGGUAUCCAAGAAACAAUGGGCCAACCCAGAAAAACAGCAAAGAGAAAUCUCAGAAGAGAAGCAAUGCACAGAGCCAAGGAGGAGCCAGACCACAUUGGAGAUGGAGUCUCUGGAAAGGGAGAGUAUAAUAAAAUAUGGAAUUGGAUGGGAAGGCUGGAAACCAAUGAAAAUGUGAUAAUGGUAAAUAGCACAAGGGGAAAAGGGCAGGUAGAAAUUCCAGGUUGGGGUUGGGGGUGCGGAAUGAUAUUAAAAAAAUAAAAUACAAUCAUAAUACACUACUUGGCUCUCCAAAGGAACAGUAUUUAAAUAGUGUUUUUGGCGUGGAGGGGUAUAAGCUAAAACCUCACCUAUCACAGCAGGAAUACAAUGACUAAUGAAAGAUACAUAAUAAAUCAAGAAACAGAAAUUGAAGCAUAUUAUUGCAAGUGAUCAGACAUACUGUAACUAGGAGCUGUAAAGGAGCUGAAAUUCUGGGAUGAGAACUAGGGAUUCGGGGUGGAUGUGGGCAGAGAUCUAUUUUUUUAACCAACGUAUGUAAUACACUGAUGUCUUUUUUAAAUGGCCUUUAACUCUGGUAGCAGGGUAGAACUCUGAUUACAGGUGGUUAAGAAUGGAUUCAGGGAAACUGGUUAGGAGAGUAUUGCAGCAGUACCGGCAGGAAACAAAGGUUUAUUGGACUACAUUUGUGGUUGGUGGAGAUGGGGACAAGACGAUGGAAAAAAUGCCAUUAGGAGAUCAAAUUGACAGGCCUAGCUGGUGGGUUGGGUGAAGGGAUAGUGAGAAAGCUGGGGAUCCAGGGAGGAUGCCUAGUUUCCUGCUUGUGCAUGUGGGUGGACAGUGAGGCCCCUCAAUGAGAAUCCUAGUCAAGAAUCAAGUUGUUAGGAGGAAGUAGUGGGCUCAGAUGGAGACAGGUAGAGUUUAAGGUGCUUGGGAGGCAUGGAGGACAAGACACUAGGCAGGAGGUUAUAAACACAGCUCUGAGCUCCCAUCACAUAUCCAGGGCUAGGCAACAAGCCUGUUAAUGCAGGUGAGCUCUCCUAGGGAGGGACUGAGGACACCAGAGAGAAGUAGUUGAUGGUGUAAGGGUGACACUGGUCUCACAUCAGAUAUAUCCAGCACAGAGACCCGGACUGGUACAGAUCUCAACAUAGUCACACAGUCACAGCAUCCUUACAGGCACACUUAUAACUCAGACCCCCCAAGGAUUAGCCAUUACUUUAAUUUUUUUUUUUCAAGACAGGGUCUCACUCUGUCACCCAGGUUGGA
rnacentral:lncRNA from 10 species